rnacentral:tRNA from 1 species
GGCGGAUCUUGGCGUAGGUGAGGUCCUGGUCGUUCGGGACGAUCAGGGCGGGGCGCCCGCCGUCGCGCGGCGCGGCGGACGCGCCG